rnacentral:tRNA from 1 species
AAGGGCUUAGCUUAAAGGAAAGCGUCUGUUUUGCAUUCAGGAGAUGUGGGAUUAAGUCUUGCAGUCCUUA